rnacentral:rRNA from 1 species
AGAGUUUGAUCAUGGCUCAGGACGAACGCUGGCGGCGUGCUUAACACAUGCAAGUCGAGCGAGAACCGGUCCUUCGGGACCGGGGAAAGCGGCGAACGGGUGAGUAACACGUGGGUAAUCUGCCCUCGGCACUGGGAUAGCCCGGGGAAACCCGGAUUAAUACCGGAUAGCCUUUCGAGCCUUCGGGCUCGUCAGAAAAGGUAGCUUCGGCCUCCGGCCGAGGAGGAGCUCGCGGCGGAUUAGCUUGUUGGUGAGGUAACGGCUCACCAAGGCGACGAUCCGUAGCUGGUCUGAGAGGACGAUCAGCCACACUGGGACUGAGACACGGCCCAGACUCCUACGGGAGGCAGCAGUAGGGAAUCUUGCGCAAUGGGCGAAAGCCUGACGCAGCGACGCCGCGUGCGGGAAGAAGGCCUUCGGGUUGUAAACCGCUUUCAGGAGGGACGAAGCCACUCGGGUUAAUAGCCCAGAGGGUGACGGUACCUCCAGAAGAAGCCCCGGCUAACUACGUGCCAGCAGCGGCGGUAAUUC